rnacentral:rRNA from 1 species
AUUGAACGCUGGCGGCAGGCUUAACACAUGCAAGUCGAGCGAGCGGCGGACGGGUGAGUAAUGUCUGGAAAACUGCCUGAUGGAGGGGGAUAACUACUGGAAACGGUAGCUAAUACCGCAUACCCUCAGAUGUGCCCAGAUGGGAUUAGCUAGUAGGUGGGGUAGUGGCUCACCUAGGCGACGAUCACUAGCUGGUCUGAGAGGAUGACCAGACACACUGGAACGGAGACAAGGUCCAGACGCCUACGUGAGGCAGCAGUGGGGAAUAUUGCACAAUGGGCGCAAGCCUGAUGCAGCCAGGCCGCGUGUGUGAAGAAGGCCUUCGGGUUGUAAAGCACUUUCAGCGAGGAGGCGUUACUCGCAGAAGAAGCACCGGCUAACUCCGUGCCAGCAGCCGCGGUAAUUC